rnacentral:lncRNA from 1 species
AGAUGCUAUGUAGCAAUGCGAUUUGUUGAUGCUAAUAAUUUGAUCACCUGUUUUGGUAGCUGUGGGCACGAAAAACUGAGACACCUAACUUCACCAAAAUCUUAAAAGCAGUGCUAUUAUGAAAACACGGAAUUUCGAUAAAA